UACAGAGGGUGCAAGCGUUGUUCGGAAUUAUUGGGCGUAAAGCGCGUGUAGGCGGCUUUGCAAGUCGGGUGUGAAAGCCCUCAGCUUAACUGAGGAAGUGCGCCCGAAACUGCAGAGCUUGAGUACCGGAGAGGGUGGCGGAAUUCCCCAAGUAGAGGUGAAAUUCGUAGAUAUGGGGAGGAACACCGGUGGCGAAGGCGGCCACCUGGACGGAUACUGACGCUGAGACGCGAAAGCCAGGGGAGCAAACGGG
rnacentral:rRNA from 1 species